rnacentral:lncRNA from 1 species
AUGGAAAAGAAAUGCAAAAAAGCAAAAUGGCUGUCUGGGGAGGCCUUACAAAUAGCUGUGAAAAGAAAAGAAGAGAAAAGCAAAGGAAAAAAGGAAAGAUAUAAGAAUCUGAAUGCAGAAUUCCAAAGAAUAGCAAGAAGAGAUAAGAAAGCCUUCCUCGGCAAUCAGUACAAAGAAAUAGAGGAAAAGAACAGAAUGGGAAAGACUAGAGAUCUCUUCAAGAAAAUUAGAGAUACCAAGGGAACAUUUCCUGCAAAGAUGGGCUUGACAAGGGACAGAAAUGGUAUUGACCUAACAGAAGCAGAAGAUAUUAAGAAGAGGUGGCAAGAAUACACAGAAGAACUGUACAAAAAAGAUAUUCAAAACCAAGAUAAUCAUGAUGGUGUGAUCACUCACCUAGAGCCAGACAUCCUAGAAUGUGAAGUCAAGUGGGCCUUAGUAAGCAUCACUACGAACAAAGCUAGUGGAGGUGAUGGAAUUCCAGUUGAGCUCUUUCAAAUCCUCAAAGAUGAUGCUGUGAAAGUGCUGCACUCAACAUGCCAGCACAUUUGGAAAACUCAGCAGUGGCCACAGGACUGGAAAAGGUCAGUUUUCAUUCCAACCCCAAAGAAAGGCAAUGUCAAACAAUGCUCAAACUACCACACAAUUGCACUCAUCUCACAUGCUAGUAAAGUAAUGCUCAAAAUUCUCCAAGCCAGGCUUCAGCAAUGCGUGAACCAUGAACUUCCAGAUGUGCAAGCUGGUUUUAGAAAAGGCAGAGGAACCAGAGAUCAAAUUGCCAACAUCUGCUUGAUCAUCAAAAAAACAAGAGAGUUCCAGAAAAACAUCUAUUUCUGCUUUAUUGACUAUGCCAAAGCCUUUGACUGUGUGCAUCACAAUCAACUGUGGAAAAUUCUGAAAGAGAUGGGAAUACCAGACCACCUGACCUGCCUCUUGAGAAACCUAUCUGCAAGUCAGGAAGCAACAGUUAGAAGUGCACUUGGAACAACAGACUGGUUCCAAAUAGGAAAAGGAGUUCGUCAAGGCUGUAUAUUGUCACCCUGCUUAUUUAACUUAUAUGCAGAGUACAUAAUGAGAAACACUGGACUGGAAGAAGCACAAGCUGGAAUCAAGAUUGCUGGGAGAAAUAUCAGUAACCUCAGAUAUGCAGAUGACACCACCCUUAUGGCACAAAGUGAAGAGGAACUAAGAAGCCUCUUGAUGAAAAUGAAAGAGGAGAGUGAAAAAGUUGGCUUAAAGCUCAACAUUCAGAAAAUGAAGAUCAUGGCAUCCGCUCCCAUCACUUCAUGGGAAAUAGAUGGGGAAACAGUGGAAACAGUGUCAGACUUUAUUUUUUUGGGCUCCAGAAUCACUGCAGAUGGUGACUGUAGCCAUGAAAUUAAAAGACACUUACUCCUUGGAAGAAAAGUUAUGACCAACCCAGGUAGCAUAUUCAAAAGCAGAGACAUUACUUUGCCAACAAAGGUCCAUCUAGUCAAGGCUAUGGUUUUUCCAGUGGUCAUGUAUGGAUGUGAGAGUUGGACUGUGAAGAAAGCUGAGCGCUGA